rnacentral:miRNA from 1 species
AUAUUUUGUAUGAAAUAUUACAUUGGUGCAAAAGUAAUUGAGGUUUUUGCCAUUUAAAACUAAUGGCGGAAACCACAAUUACUUUUCUACCAACAUACAUA